rnacentral:rRNA from 1 species
GACGAACGCUGGCGGCGUGCCUAAUACAUGCAAGUCGAGCGGACGAAUCGAAAGCUUGCUUUUGAUUCGUUAGCGGCGGACGGGUGAGUAACACGUGGGCAACCUGCCCUGUAGACGGGGAUAACACCGAGAAAUCGGUGCUAAUACCGGAUAACACGAAAUGUCGCAUGACGUUUCGUUGAAAGACGGCGCAAGCUGUCGCUACAGGAUGGGCCCGCGGCGCAUUAGCUAGUUGGUGAGGUAACGGCUCACCAAGGCGACGAUGCGUAGCCGACCUGAGAGGGUGAUCGGCCACACUGGGACUGAGACACGACCCAGACUCCUACGGGAGGCAGCAGUAGGGAAUCUUCCGCAAUGGACGAAAGUCUGACGGAGCAACGCCGCGUGAGCGAAGAAGGCCUUCGGGUCGUAAAGCUCUGUUGUUAGGGAAGAACAAGUAACGCAGUAACUGGCGUUACCGUGACGGUACCUAACGAGAAAGCCACGGCUAACUACGUG